CAGGCGGUCCACUUCAUGGAGUUCUCGCGCCAAGGCGGCGGCUCGGGCAAAGCGAAAGCCAUCGACGUGCAUCUCGCGCACCCAGUAGCGCAAACUGUCCAUGAUCAGCCGCAGCACACUGGGAUGCGUCAUAUUCAAGGUGUUGCCCGUACCCGUGUAAUCCAUAUAGUAGCGCGGGUUAUCGCCAACGAGGCGGUAAUAAGCGGCAUUGUCGAUACCGCGGAAGCAGAGCGUUGGCCCCAGGUGAUUGCCUUCCGCAGUAUGGGUGUAGACCACAUCAAGGAUGACCUCAAUACCUUCACGGUGCAGCGUUUUGACCAUGGUUUUGAACUCGGUCACCUGCUGUCCAAGAAAACCCAUGCUGGCAUAGCGCACAUCGGGUGCAAAGAAGCCAAUGGUAUUAUAGCCCCAGUAGUUGGUGAGACCGCGGUCCACCAGGUGUCUGUCUGUGACGAACUGAUGCACAGGCAUCAGUUCCACGGCGGUGAUCCCCAGCGACAGGAGGUA
rnacentral:misc_RNA from 1 species